AAUAAUCCCUGUGUUAAACUUGGUACGUUAGGUACCUUCCCACUAGGGAUAAAAGAUCUGACAUGUGUAACUGAUAGGAGGAAGGAUUUAUGGAGGAAGAGACUUCAGUCCAGGAUGGGCUGACUCCAAAGCAGGGUCAUCAUGGUGGAGGGGUCUGGCAGAGGGAAAGUGGAGAGCUGGAGAGGGAGAGCGGUUGGGAACAAAAUACACCCUUUCAGAUCCUCCUCCUCCAGCCAGGGCCACUGCCUAUCAGCACUCAGCAAUGAGCUCAUCAGUGGGUACCUCUAUGAAGGAAUACAGCAUCCAAUGAUUUGCUCACCUUCCAAAAGCUCCAGCUGUGAAGAUAGAAACCCUUUGGGGGACAUUUUAGACAAAACCAUUGCACUUGAUGUGAAGGUCCCAGUGAUGGAAGCACGGAGGCAGCCAUAACCUUACUCACCAUGGGAGAACUGGUACUGCAGUCGGAGAUGAGCACGGAGCAGAAUGAUGUAGGAGUAUGUAUAUUUCCUGAUGAUCAUUCAAAGGAUAAAAGUCAUAUUUGUUUUAGCCCAGAUAAUUUAAGUCAUAAAAUUGUUCAUGAAUGUCAGGAGCUUUCUUCAUCUAUCAUUAAUACAUCUGCAUCUGAAGAAAAGGAGAGUGUAUCAGAGGAACAGAAUACUAAAGAAGAAGUUGAUUUAAAGGAGAAAGCAGUGGAGAGCACAUCAACCAGGAGUAUAGCUUCUAAAGUGGAGAGUGAUUUGCAAAUAAAAAGUACAUUCACCAGGCCUGAGCUGAAUCUUGACGCUUUAGUGACCAGCAGGGUUGAUGCUCUUCAGGAAGUUUCUAGUUUAUCUGAAAGGGAAGAAGGGGAAAGUCAAAAAGAAACUGAGAACAGUGCUUCCAAAGCAAUAGAAGUGGAAUGUAAGACCCCUGGACUAGUCAUGACAGCAGAGAGUCAGGAGCAGAACCAGUUGGCAUGUGCGCAGGAUAUCAGAGUGACCAGUAUUUCACAGGAAGGAAGCCCAGCCAAAAGAAAUGAGGAUCAAGAAGAGAGCUCUCAAGAGGUUCAGAUGUUGCCAGUUGCUCCCAUUUUUCCCUCUGAGGCAGGGCCCCCCACACUUGUUUCCAGUCUCGGUGAGAAUUCUGUUGAAGAACCCUUGAUAAAGGAUGCUAAAGGAGACAGCAGGCCCACUCUUCAUGCACCAGAGUGCAUGCGAGCUAGUAUUCCAGAAGUGCAACAGGAGAAUAUAACCAACACUCAAGAUCCAACAGAUGUACAUCAGGACGGAGAGGAUGAGCAGGCAUUCAUUCUAACUUUGGUGGAAAUCCCAGCCAGUGCCGUGGAAGAAUUCACUGAUGCUGCUGUACAGUUAACGCCAAACCCUGUGCUGCCCGCACCUAUCCUGGUCAAAUCUGGUAAUUCUGAAGAAAAGGGUGACAUUAGGUAAUGAAUGGAAACUUGUUUUUACUAAGAAAAAAAAGGGGACACUUUAUGAAUCAAA
rnacentral:lncRNA from 1 species